rnacentral:misc_RNA from 1 species
CCAACACCUACAUUGGAGA